ACGGAAGGCAGCAGUGGGGAAUAUUGGGCAAUGGGCGAAAGCCUGACCCAGCAACGCCGCGUGAAGGAAGAAGGUCUUCGGAUUGUAAACUUCUUUUAUGAGGGACGAAGGACGUGACGGUACCUCAUGAAUAAGCCACGGCUAACUACGUGCCAGCAGCCGCGGUAAUACGUAGGUGGCAAGCGUUAUCCGGAUUUACUGGGUGUAAAGGGCGCGUAGGCGGGGAUGCAAGUCAGAUGUGAAAUCCAUGGGCUUAACUCAUGAACUGCAUUUGAAACUGUAUCUCUUGAGUGUCGGAGAGGUAGAUGGAAUUCCUAGUGUAGCGGUGAAAUGCGUAGAUAUUAGGAGGAACACCAGUGGCGAAGGCGAUCUACUGGACGAUAACUGACGCUGAGGCGCGAAAGCGUGGGGAGCAAACAGGAUUAGAUACCCUGGUA
rnacentral:rRNA from 1 species